rnacentral:tRNA from 1 species
GUCCUCGUACCUCAGUAGGAUAGAGGGACCGCCUCCUAAGCGGUACGUCGCAGGUUCAAUUCCUGUCGGGGACGUCA